UAAGACAGAGGCCUCAAGCGUUAGGCGGAAUCACUGGGCUUAAAGCGUGUGUAGGCGGACUUCUAAGUGCCUUGUGAAAUCCCACGGCUCAACCGUGGAACUGCUGGGCAUACUGGGAGUCUUGGGCCAUUCAGGGGCAACUGGAACAAGCGGUGGAGCGGUGAAAUGCGUAGAUAUCGCUUGGAACGCC
rnacentral:rRNA from 1 species